rnacentral:rRNA from 1 species
UGGGGAAUAUUGCACAAUGGGCGCAAGCCUGAUGCAGCCAUGCCGCGUGUAUGAAGAAGGCCUUCGGGUUGUAAAGUACUUUCAGCGGGGAGGAAGGGAGUAAAGUUAAUACCUUUGCUCAUUGACGUUACCCGCAGAAGAAGCACCGGCUAACUCCGUGCCAGCAGCCGCGGUAAUACGGAGGGUGCAAGCGUUAAUCGGAAUUACUGGGCGUAAAGCGCACGCAGGCGGUUGAUUGAGUCAGAUGUGAAAUCCCCGGGCUUAACCCGGGAAUUGCAUCUGAUACUGGUCAGCUAGAGUCUCGUAGAGGGGGGUAGAAUUCCAGGUGUAGCGGUGAAAUGCGUAGAGAUCUGGAGGAAUACCGGUGGCGAAGGCGGCCCCCUGGACGAAGACUGACGCUCAGGUGCGAAAGCGUGGGGAGCAAACAGG